rnacentral:rRNA from 1 species
AAUGAACGUUGGCGGCGUGGAUUAGGCAUGCAAGUCGAGCGCGAACCCCGCAAGGGGGGAGAGCGGCAAACGGGGUAGUAACGGGUAGGUGACGUACCCUCGGGUUGGGGAUAGCCACGGGAAACUGUGGGUAAUACCCAAUAAUCUCCUGGAGCUUGAAGGCUUCGGGAGCAAAGGUGUGAUUCCACCGGAGGAGCGGCCUGCUUCGUAUUAGCUAGUUGGUGAGGUAACGGCUCACCAAGGCUUCGAUGCGUAGGGGGUGUGAGAGCAUGACCCCCACCACUGGGACUGAGAUACUGCCCAGACACCUACGGGUGGCUGCAGUCGAGAAUCUUCGGCAAUGGGCGCAAGCCUGACCGAGCGACGCCGCGUGUGGGAUGAAGGCCCUUGGGUUGUAAACCACUGUCAGAGGGGAUGAAGUGCCAGAGAGCAAUCUCUCUGGUUUGACAUAGCCUCAGAGGAAGCACGGGCUAAGUUCGUGCCAGCAGCCGCCGUAAGAC